GAUGAACGCUGGCGGCGUGCCUAACACAUGCAAGUCGUACGAGCUCGAUCUUCGGAACGGGUUAGUGGCGCACGGGUGAGUAACACGUAGGUGACCUACCCCAGAGUGGGGGAUAACUUCUCGAAAGAGAGGCUAAUACCGCAUACACUCGGUCAUUCAUUUGGCCGAGCAAAGCUCCGGCGCUUUGGGACGGGCCUGCGUCCGAUUAGCUAGUUGGUAGGGUAAUGGCUUACCAAGGCUUUGAUCGGUAGCUGGUCUGAGAGGACGAUCAGCCACACUGGCACUGACACACGGGCCAGACUCCUACGGGAGGCAGCAGUGAGGAAUAUUGGGCAAUGGGCGAAAGCCUGACCCAGCAACGCCGCGUGAGGGAUGAAGGCCUUCGGGUUGUAAACCUCUUUCUGGGUAGAAGAGACAAGGACGGUAUCCCAGGAAUAAGUCUCGGCUAACUACGUAGCCAGCAGCCGCGGU
rnacentral:rRNA from 1 species